CCACAUCACGUUGAAACAUCAGUUCCCAUACAAUCAUUGAAGUUAAACAAUGUUGAGCCUGGUCAGUACCUAGAUGGGUGACCACUUGCGAAUACC